GUAGGGAAUAUUGGGCAAUGGUCGGAAGACUGACCCAGCCAUGCCGCGUGCAGGAAGACGGCCCUCUGGGUUGUAAACUGCUUUUAUCUGGGAAGAAAAAGGCCAUGCGUGGCAAAUUGCCGGUACCAGAUGAAUAAGCACCGGCUAACUCCGUGCCAGCAGCCGCGGUAAUACGGAGGGUGCGAGCGUGGUCCGGAUUUAUUGGGUUUAUAUGGUGCGUAGGCGGCUGAUUAAGUCAGCGGUGAAAGACUUCGGCUUAACCGGAGCAGUGCCGUUGAUCCUGGUUGGCUUGAGUGUCGGAGGGGUACAUGGAAUUGAUGGUGUAGCGGUGAAAUGCAUAGAUACCAUCAGGAACACCGAUAGCGAAGGCAUUGUACUGGCCGACAACUGACGCUGAUGCACGAAAGUGUGGGGAUCGAACAGGAUUAGAUACCCGGGUAGUCC
rnacentral:rRNA from 1 species